AUAGUUUUAUUUUGGCUAAUGUUUUAUUAAAUUUUUAUUUUACAUGUAAAUUAUUAUAUGAAUUUAUUUAUAAUUUUAAUAAUUAUAAUUAUAAUUUUUAUUCGCAGUAUAUAAUUUUAUAAUAUUAAAGAAAUUUAGAAUUAGUAAUAAAUUAAAUAUAGGAUAAAUUUGUGCCAGCAUCUGCGGUUAUACAAAUUAUAUAAAUAAAAUUUAUUAGUUUAUAGUUAAAUUUAAUUAAUAAAAUUAUUUAAAUUAAAAAUUUUAAGGUUAAAUUUAAAAUUUUUAAUUAUAAUAAAAUAUUUAUUAUUGAAGCUAUAAAAUUUUUAUAAUAAACUAGGAUUAGAUACCCUAUUAUUAAAAAUUUAAAUAUAAAAUUAAGGUAGUAAUAGUUAAGAUCUUGAAACUUAAAAAAUUUGGCGGUAUUUUAGUCUAUUUAGAGGAACCUGUUCUAUGAUCGAUAGUCCACGAUAUAUUUUACUAAAUUUUAUUUAGCUUAUAUACCGUCGUUAAAAGAAUAUUUUAAAAGAAUAAAAUUUUCUAAAAUUUAAAUUAAAAUAUAUUUCAGAUCAAGGUGUAGUUUAUAAUUUAGAAGAAAUGGGUUACAAUAAAUGUAUUUAUUAUGAAUAAAUUAAUGUAAUUUAAUUUAGAAGGUGGAUUUAAUAGUAAAAUAAAUAAAUUUAUUUAUUUGAUUAUAGCUCUAAAAUAUGCACAUAUCGCCCGUCGCUCUUUCUUUAAAGAAAGAUAAGUCGUAACAUAGUAGACGUACUGGAAAGUGUGUCUAGAAAG
rnacentral:ncRNA from 1 species